GCAAACGUAGCAUAAUGGUUUGAGUGUUGGACUAUUGACUCUGAAGACCAGGGUUUGAUUCCCUGCUUGGGCA